rnacentral:rRNA from 1 species
UAAUACAGAGGGUGCGAGCGUUAUCCGGAAUUACUGGGCGUAAAGGGCGUGUAGGUGGUUUGUUAAGUUCGAUGUUAAAGCGUGAGGCUCAACCUCAUCACGGCGUUGAAUACUGGCAAGCUAGACGACUGGAGAGGAAAGCAGAAUUACCAGUGUAGCGGUGAAAUGCGUAGAUACUGGUAGGAAUACCCAUUGCGAAGGCAGCUUUCUGGACAGUUUGUGACACUCAGACGCGAAAGUGUGGGGAGCAAACCGG